rnacentral:rRNA from 1 species
AGCCAUGCAUGUCUAAGUAUAAAUAACUACACAGUGAAACUGCGAAUGGCUCAUUAAAACAGUUAUAGUUUAUUUGAUACAAGAAAUGGAUAACUGUAGAAAAACUAGAGCUAAUACAUGCCGUAACCGCAAGGUUGUAUUUAUUAGAUAUACCCAGUAGGUGAUUCAUAAUAACUAUGCAAAUCGAGGCUCUGCCUCGAUACAUCAUUCAAGUUUCUGCCCUAUCAGCUUUCGAUGGUAGUGUAUUGGACUACCAUGGCUUUCACGGGUAACGGAGAAUUAGGGUUCGAUUCCGGAGAAGGAGCCUGAGAAACGGCUACUACAUCUAAGGAAGGCAGCAGGCGCGUAAAUUACCCAAUCCUGACUCAGGGAGGUAGUGACAAGAUAUAACAACGCUAUUUUAUAUAGCGAUUGUAGUGAGGGUUUUCUAAAAAGAACUUCGAGUACGAUUGGAGGGCAAGUCUGGUGCUAGCAGCCGCGGUAAUUCCAGCUCCAAUAGCGUAUAUUAAAGUUGUUGCAGUUAAAAAGCUCGUAGUUGGAUUUCAAAGUGGAGGUGAGGAAACUCGCCGAAACUUAUCAGUCCUAUCGGACUGUUACUGUGAGAAAAUUAGAGUGUUUAAAGCAGGCCAUUGCAGGAAUACAUUAGCAUGGAAUAACGAGUGUGUCUAGAAUCUUGGUUAAUUCUAGAAAACGAUUAAUAGGGACAGUUGGGGGCAUUAGUAUUUAAUUGUCAGAGGUGAAAUUCUUGGAUUUAUUAAAGACUAACAUAUGCGAAAGCAUUUGCCAAGGAUGUUUUCAUUAAUCAAGAACGAAAGAUUGGGGAUCAAAGACGAUCAGA